rnacentral:rRNA from 1 species
AUAAACUGGAGGAAGGUGGGGAUGACGUCAAGUCAUCAUGGCCCUUACGACCAGGGCUACACACGUGCUACAAUGGCAUAUACAAAGAGAAGCGACCUCGCGAGAGCAAGCGGACCUCAUAAAGUAUGUCGUAGUCCGGAUUGGAGUCUGCAACUCGACUCCAUGAAGUCGGAAUCGCUAGUAAUCGUAGAUCAGAAUGCUACG